AACCUGCCGCUUACUCGGGGAUAGCCUUUCGAAAGAAAGAUUAAUACCCGAUGGUAUAAAGAGUUCGCAUGUUCUCUUUAUUAAAGAAUUUCGGUAAGCGAUGGGGAUGCGUUCCAUUAGAUUGUUGGCGGGGUAACGGCCCACCAAGUCUACGAUGGAUAGGGGUUCUGAGAGGAAGGUCCCCCACAUUGGAACUGAGACACGGUCCAAACUCCUACGGGAGGCAGCAGUGAGGAAUAUUGGUCAAUGGACGAGAGUCUGAACCAGCCAAGUAGCGUGAAGGAUGACUGCCCUAUGGGUUGUAAACUUCUUUUAUAAGGGAAUAAAGUGAGGGACGUGUCCCUUUUUGUAUGUACCUUAUGAAUAAGGAUCGGCUAACUCCGUGCCAGCGGCCGCGGUAAUACGGAGGAUCCAAGCGUUAUCCGGAUUUAUUGGGUUUAAAGGGAGCGUAGGUUGAUUGUUAAGUCAGUUGUGAAAGUUUGCGGCUCAACCGUAAAAUUGCAGUUGAUACUGGCAGUCUUGAGUACAGUAGAGGUGGGCGGAAUUCGUGGUGUAGCGGUGAAAUGCUUAGAUAUCACGAAGAACUCCGAUUG
rnacentral:rRNA from 1 species